UACGUAGGUGGCGAGCGUUGUCCGGAUUUACUGGGCGUAAAGGGAGCGUAGGCGGAUUUUUAAGUGAGAUGUGAAAUACUCGGGCUCAACUUGAGUGCUGCAUUUCAAACUGGAAGUCUAGAGUGCAGGAGAGGAGAAUGGGAUUCCUAGUGUAGCGGUGAAAUGCGUAGAGAUUAGGAAGAACACCAGUGGCGAAGGCGAUUCUCUGGACUGUAACUGACGCUGAGGCUCGAAAACGUGGGGAGCAAACAGG
rnacentral:rRNA from 1 species